UCUAUUUAUUUUAUACGUCAAAGCUAGAUCUGUUCGUACAUUAAUUAACAAUCUUUAAGUGCAUUGUUAGCUCACACCGAGUUUAUAUGAUAAGGUAUAAGAACUAGUACUAGGUUGGAAGAACUACAACUAAUAACGGUUCUGACAAUAAAUCACUACCUCUUGUAACUCUAAGUUUAGUUACUUCGAUUGUCAAAACGUAAUUAUUAUAUGAACACAAGUAGAGAUGUCUAUUCAUUCUCUUCACCAAUCUUUCAAAAGAAUUAUAUUGAAUACCUCUAAUUUGUUGCUGAGACCUAAAACAAUUGCUUUUCAAACAGCAGGAACCCAUCUUUUGCUACAUAUGUUUACCUUACUAAUGAGAAGUUAUGAGCUGCAAAU